UAUUUAAAUUAAUAUUGGUUUUAUGUUUACUAAGUUAACAUAUAUUACUCAUCAUACCUCUAUUAAAGCAUUAAUAAUUAUGAUUCAAGAUUAGCGUAGUUUUAUUUGAUGACAUUUCUAUGCGUUUUGUUUAUCUUUAGAAAGAGAAGUCUUGAAACAAUUGGGUUGUUACAUUUACAGUGUUUAUUAUACAACUUACUUAUUAUAUUGAAUUUUUUAAUUUAAUUAGUUUUUUUGUUUUUUGUUUUAAUUCAACUCUUCUUUUUUAAUGAAACCUGUUCAUAUUCAGAAGCCGAGGAAGAUGAAAUUGCUUUAAAAGAAAUGCAAAUGAAGCAAGAAACACUCAAUGAGGAAAUAGUUCGCAAACAGGAUGAGUUAGCUUAAAGAAAAGCAUUGCUGGGUAAAAAUAAUGUUUAUCUG